rnacentral:rRNA from 3 species
CGCCCUCUGAAUCCUAAUAUAGAGGGUCCUGCCUGCCCAGUGACUAAAAGUUAAACGGCCGCGGUAUCUUGACCGUGCGAAGGUAGCAUAAUCACUUGUCUCCUAAAUAGAGACUGGUAUGAAUGGCAAGACGGAACUUUACUGUCUCCUCCUCUUUAGUCUGAAUUUCACUAUCCCGUGAAGAGGCGGGAAUCUAAUCGUAAGACGAGAAGACCCUGUCGAGCUGUAGCAAAACUUUGGCUAUUACUAGCCUCCUAUCUUAACUAAUAAAUAACACUACAAGCUAAGUGAAGUGUAAUAGACCAAAGCAAGCUUUGAUUGGGGCAAUCACGGAGAAAGAAAAUCCUCCGUUACUAAUUGGUUUUAUCUAACUUAACUCAAAAGAACUAAUUAUUCUAAAAUCACAAAAUGAAGAUACGAUCCACUCACAGUGAUCAAAAGAAAAAGUUACCGCAGGGAUAACAGCGUUAUCUUUUCUAAGAGUUCAUAUUGACGAAAAGGUUUGCGACCUCGAUG